rnacentral:rRNA from 1 species
GACAGAGGGUGCAAACGUUGUUCGGAAUUACUGGGCGUAAAGCGCGUGUAGGCGGCUCUGUAAGUCGGGUGUGAAAUCCCACGGCUCAACCGUGGAAGUGCACUCGAAACUACAGGGCUAGAGUCCUGGAGAGGAAGGUGGAAUGCUUGGUGUAGAGGUGAAAUUCGUAGAUAUCAAGCGGAACACCGGUGGCGAAGGCGGCCUUCUGGACAGUGACUGACGCUGAGACCCGAAAGCGUGGGGAGCAAACAGG